rnacentral:rRNA from 1 species
UACGUAGGGGGCAAGCGUUGUCCGGAUUACUGGGCGUAAAAGAGCGUGUGAGCGGCCAAACAGGUCCGUUGUGAAAACUGGAGGCUUAACCUCCAGACGUCGACGGAAACCGUGUGGCUAGAGUCCGGAAGAGGAGAGUGGAAUUCCUGGUGUAGCGGUGAAAUGCGCAGAUAUCAGGAAGAACACCAAUGGCGAAGGCAGCUCUCUGGGACGGUACUGACGCUGAGACGCGAAAGCGUGGGGAGCGAACAGG